rnacentral:lncRNA from 1 species
CAUAAAACAUAAAACAUAAAACAUAAAACAUAUAAACACUACUCCAAAUGUCUUCAAAUUGAUAGGAAAGUAAAGCAGGUAACAGCGGCAAAGCGGCAAAGCGACAAAACGGAAAAGCAAAAGUGGUUUGCAAAAAAAAAAAAAAAAAAAAACAACAACAACGCUAAAACAGCCAGCAUAAACACAAAAUGUAGAUAUUGCGAAGUUAACUAAAUUCGAGAAAUAUUAUAUAUGUGUAAGGAGUGUCUAACAUGCAUGCAUACAUAAAAACAUAUAGAUAAAAGUGGGAGAACAAGUUACUCGCCAAAUUUCAUUGCUCGAAAAUUAAAUGCAAAGCAACUCGACUCUUUCAAAAGGACGCAAAUAUUUUUGAACCAGAAAUGUGUUCACUAAAUACUAAUAUAACAAAAAUAUACUUAUUGAUAUAAAAAAAAAACAGUUAAAUUAAAAACUAAAAAUAAAGUAAAACUCCUUAGAGGAAAAUACAUACAUACAUACUUCAAAUCAAGCAACAACAACAACAACAAAACGCAACCCUUCACCAAAUUUGACUUAGCUGAGAGAUGACUUAAAACUUGUAAAUUUAGUUGCCGCUUUUUGGUAAAUUAAUGAAAUUUAAACAAAAAAAAAACCACCUCUAGACUUUAGAUAACUAACAAACAUACCUACAUACUUUAUACUAAACUAAACUAAAGUGCAACUUUACUGUAAAGAAAAUUACAAAAAAAAAAAACAACAACAACUAAAACAAUUUCCCCAUGUAACUAUAUUGCUCCCCCAACAACUAUCAACUAAUUAUUACAAAAAAAAAAAAAGAAUAUUUCAGUUAUUGUAUUUCAAAAACCCAAUUCUCAGCUUUAUUUUGAGUACAUUUUGAAUGAAAAAAAAAUGAAACAACUUUUUGAAGGAUAUGCACUUACGAGCAUAUUUGUAUUAUUGAAGAGUAACUAACUAUUUACUUUAUAUUGUAUUAUUAUCUACACUAAAUUUAGUAUUAAACUAUAUUGUAUGCUCUUACUACUACAUGCAUACAUACACAAAAAAUUUAAAAAAAAAAAAUAAGAAACACGCUGCUACUACUACACAUGUACAUAACAUAAACAUAUAGCAAAUUUCAUGUAAUGAUACAUACAUAAUAAGUACGUGUGUGUGCGUUUGUAAAAGACGAUAUGUACACGUGAAGAUGAUCUAUUGUUAAAUUUUUACCGCAAAUUAAAUAACUGUUAAGUGUGAUCACGAUCAAUGAAGAAAAAAUUAAAAAUAGAAACUUAAAUAAAAAAACAUACAUACACACAUGAACAUCAACAACAACAAUAAAUCAGCAUAAUUAUGCGCAAGCGACAAGCAACCAUAACGAAAUUAAUGCAACAAAAAAAAAUAUCCCAUCAUUGCAAACGCAUUAAAUAACCCAUAUUGGAAAUUACAUACAUACAUACACACAUACAUAAAUUACAAAUUUAACUAAACUCACGUAAAUUGUUAUUUACACACACAAACACACAAACAAACAUGCAAAAACAUAAUGUUAUAAUUAAAACCAUAAAACAUAAAGGCGAUUAGUUGAAAAGAAAUGCAAUAAAACUCAAAAAUUUAAAAGAAAUAAAUAAAAAUAAAUAAAUAAAUUUAAAUAAAAUGAAUUGUAUUAUAAUUAAGAGAGUUCCAUAAACAAAUAGGUCGACAUGAGUUGAGUCACAAUAACUGCUGAUAGUAGAUAAUGAUUUAUACCCUUUCCUUAGAGUACACGCCACACACACACACACACACACAAUUAAGUUAUAUAAAAUAAAAUAAAAAUUAAUUAAAUAAAAGUGAAACUAAACGUUUAUAGGCAUAAAGAUAGCAAAGGACUUAAACUAAUUGAAAACGAAAUCGAAAACGCUAACAAAAAAAAAAACAAAAACAAAACAAAAACAAGCAGCAGAAUAAAAUAGCAAUUUACCGUUAAGAUUAGAAGAA